GGCCGAUUAGGUAGUUGGUUAGGUAACGGCUUACCAAGCCAUUGAUCGGUACGGGUUGUGAGAGCAAGAGCCCGGAGAUGGAACCUGAGACAAGGUUCCAGGCCCUACGGGGUGCAGCAGGCGCGAAACCUCCGCAAUGUGAGAAAUCGCGACGGGGGGAUCCCAAGUGCCAUUCUUAACGGGAUGGCUUUUCAUUAGUGUAAAGAGCUUUUGGAAUAAGGGCUGGGCAAGACCGGUGCCAGCCGCCGCGGUAACACCGGCAGCUCUAGUGGUAGCAGUUUUUAUUGGGCCUAAAGCGUCCGUAGCCGGUUUAAUAAGUCUCUGGUGAAAUCCUGUAGCUUAACUGUGGGAAUUGCUGGAGAUACUAUUAGACUUGAGACCGGGAGAGGUUAGAGGUACUCCCAGGGUAGAGGUGAAAUUCUGUAAUCCUGGGAGGACCGCCUGUUGCGAAGGCGUCUAACUGGAACGGUUCUGACGGUGAGGGACGAAAGUUAGGGGCGCGAACCGGAUUAGAUACCCGGGUAGUCCUAACUGUAAACGAUGCGGACUUGGUGUUGGGGUGGCUUUGAGCUGCUCCAGUGCCGAAGGGAAGCUGUUAAGUCCGCCGCCUGGGAAGUACGGUCGCAAGACUGAAACUUAA
rnacentral:rRNA from 1 species